UCGUGAGACAGUUCGGUCCCUAUCCGUCGUGGGCGUAGGAAAUUUGAGAGGAGCUGUCCUUAGUACGAGAGGACCGGGAUGGACGCACCGCUGGUGUACCAGUUGUUCUGCCAAGAGCAUCGCUGGGUAGCUAUGUGCGGAAGGGAUAAGUGCUGAAAGCAUCUAAGCAUGAAGCCCCCCUCGAGAUGAGAUUUCCCAUAGCGUAAGCUAGUAAGACCCCUGAAAGAUGAUCAGGUUGAUAGGUUUGAGGUGGAAGCGUGGUGACACGUGGAGCUGACAAAUACUAAUCGGUCGA
rnacentral:rRNA from 1 species